AUUGAACGCUGGCGGCAGGCCUAACACAUGCAAGUCGAGCGGUAGAGAGAAGCUUGCUUCUCUUGAGAGCGGCGGACGGGUGAGUAAUGCCUAGGAAUCUGCCUGGUAGUGGGGGAUAACGUUCGGAAACGGACGCUAAUACCGCAUACGUCCUACGGGAGAAAGCAGGGGACCUUCGGGCCUUGCGCUAUCAGAUGAGCCUAGGUCGGAUUAGCUAGUUGGUGAGGUAAUGGCUCACCAAGGCGACGAUCCGUAACUGGUCUGAGAGGAUGAUCAGUCACACUGGAACUGAGACACGGUCCAGACUCCUACGGGAGGCAGCAGUGGGGAAUAUUGGACAAUGGGCGAAAGCCUGAUCCAGCCAUGCCGCGUGUGUGAAGAAGGUCUUCGGAUUGUAAAGCGCUUUAAGUUGGGAGGAAGGGCAGUUACCUAAUACGUGAUUGUUUUGACGUUACCGACAGAAUAAGCACCGGCUAACUCUGUGCCAGCAGCCGCGGUAAUACAGAGGGUGCAAGCGUUAAUCGGAAUUACUGGGCGUAAAGCGCGCGUAGGUGGUUUGUUAAGUUGGAUGUGAAAUCCCCGGGCUCAACCUGGGAACUGCAUUCAAAACUGACUGACUAGAGUAUGGUAGAGGGUGGUGGAAUUUCCUGUGUAGCGGUGAAAUGCGUAGAUAUAGGAAGGAACACCAGUGGCGAAGGCGACCACCUGGACUAAUACUGACACUGAGGUGCGAAAGCGUGGGGAGCAAACAGG
rnacentral:rRNA from 1 species